rnacentral:rRNA from 1 species
GACGAACGCUGGCGGCGUGCUUAACACAUGCAAGUCGAACGGAAAGGCCCUGCUUUUGUGGGGUGCUCGAGUGGCGAACGGGUGAGUAACACGUGAGUAACCUGCCCUUGACUUUGGGAUAUCUUCAGGAAACUGGGGCUAAUACCGGAUAGGAGCUCCUGCUGCAUGGUGGGGGUUGGAAAGUUUCGGCGGUUGGGGAUGGACUCGCGGCUUAUCAGCUUGUUGGUGGGGUAGUGGCUUACCAAGGCUUUGACGGGUAGCCGGCCUGAGAGGGUGACCGGCCACAUUGGGACUGAGAUACGGCCCAGACUCCUACGGGAGGCAGCUGUGGGGAAUAUUGCACAAUGGGCGGAAGCCUGAUGCAGCAACGCCGCGUGCGGGAUGACGGCCUUCGGGUUGUAAACCGCUUUCGCCUGUGACGAAGCGUGAGUGACGGUAAUGGGUAAAGAAGCACCGGCUAACUACGUG